CAGUAGCCACGGGAAUACGUAGGGUGCGAGCGUUAAUCGGAAUUACUGGGCGUAAAGCGUGCGCAGGCGGUUUUGUAAGACAGGCGUGAAAUCCCCGGGCUCAACCUGGGAAUGGCGCUUGUGACUGCAAAGCUAGAGUGCGGCAGAAGGGGAUGGAAUUCCGCGUGUAGCAGUGAAAUGCGUAGAUAUGCGGAGGAAUACCGAUGGCGAAGGCAUCCCCCUGGGCCAAUACUGACGCUCAUUCACGAAAGCGUGGGGAGCAAACAGGAUUAGAUACCCCUGUAGUCCCUGUCUCUUAUAC
rnacentral:rRNA from 1 species